rnacentral:lncRNA from 1 species
UGCCAUUCGACAUAUAUCAUUCUAUAAAAUGUUUGAAAUUUUGCAUCAUCUGAUAAUUCACAGCAAUAAACAAUCUGCUGUAUUAUUUACGUUUCUUUCAAUAUAGAGAGGAACCCAAAAUAGUCUUGUUUUUCUUCUUUUUCGGCGACGAAAAAACCAUAGAAUAGAUCCUCAUCAUCAUCUCCGCUGGAUGCCAUCUUGAUUGAAUGAAUUCUGUACGCUUGUAGUACAACCCGUGUAUAGAUGUGCAGGCGUGCGCGUAUCAAAAACUGUAAGUCGAAUCUUAUAUACGUCUAUCCAUGCCCUCCGCGUACAAAGAGCCUAAAUAAGUUAAUCGGCUCCUUCGUGUUCGAACGAGCUGCUGUGGUAAAGCGCGUGCGCAGUAACUAUCUUGAUACUAUCUACCUGAUAGCUAACUUACUGUAUGUCUCGUGCAAUACUUUGUUCAAAAAAUCUGAAGUAGUACAGGUUAAAGUUAUUCUACCGAUAACUAUUCUGCAAAUUAAACCGAAAGUCGUGC